CAGAAAGUGUUCACUUCUUCUGUUUCGGGCUGUACGCUGUGGUUCUGCGCCUCCAGGGCUUUGCUGCCUGGCGAGCGUCCUCCCUGUACCACAGGAUCCUUGCCCGACUACAAACCCGAGGCUUCUAUUAGGAUAGUCUGGAUUCGCCAUAGGGGUUUCUCCUAGCGCGGAUUGUGUGUUUGCGUUGGCGAUGCUCAUAGAAGAAAGGCGCAGAGCUGUACGAGGAGGCGGGAUGCACGGGUCAGAGCCCUCGGUGGCCUCCGCCCGCUGCUCUUGGCGCCGGUCCGCUCCUGGAGAUAGCGCGGCAGCCGCCUGGGAGGCGAAGCGCGUAAUCUCCGCGCUACCCACGCGGGGCCGCGGCGUGGUGGCCGCACUUUGGCUUUGGGCGCUGGAUGGACAGUGGGGUAAAGGGUUGGGGUUCCCCUAACGUGGAUUACUUGGUGCUUAUCAACUGGAUUUAGAAGACUCUCGACCUGGUCUCCAUCAUCCGUGGGUUGUCUUUCCAUCUCCCAGCCGCUCUUUCACCUGGAGGUGAAACCAGAGCUUCUGCCUGCAUGGAACAAGAGCAAGAGAAAGGCCGAGGAGACUGACCUGCUUAUCCAUGCUACUUAUCAGGAACUGUGGAACCAUGGAGAACAUGACCCUGGCCCUCCCUUCAGGAUCUGCCUGAGAUCUGGCUGCCUCUUGAGACACUAGAGCCCUGGAUUCAAUUGCGGAACAUUAUGUUGGAGAAUAUAAACACUUCUAGACUGUGCCGGCAUUUGGGAAGGAAUAGUCUGUUUUGACUUGAAUGAACAAAGACAUACGUCUCUGGGCCUGGGGAAGGCUUACCAGCUCAGCUCAUCUACUGUCUGGUGGCAAACAUGUCCUGGGUACUGCCACUACCCAGGACACUCUUCCUCACUCUGUCCCUGUCCAGUUACCGCACCCUUCCCUGUCUGACCCCGCCUCCUGUGCCCACUCGCCUCUGGACCCAGAGAUUCUUCUUGUUUGCUCUAUCAUCCUUGAGCCGGAUACAGGGUGAAUAGUUAACCACACUUGGGUUGAAUGGGAUCUUGAUUCUUAUUUCUGUUCCUUGGAAAGAGGGGUCAGACUCGGUGCGUGGCACCCGGCCUGGAAGCAGCACAAGACUCCAGAGUGAUACAUGAUCUGCCUGGAUGGUCCCAGGGGCUCUUUGGAGGUCAGAGCAAGAGGAGCAGCCUGAGCAGGGGGGCUGAGGAGGGCCGGCACUGGAUCACACGCAGGCGUAUGUCUGGAUAGGCAGAGAGGAACCCACUUUUCAUUCCCUCUUCUGUGACACAAAUGCAAGGAACUUUGAAGACACUCUUCGGAGGUUGCAAUCGGAGAUCAGCUUAUCCAAGGGCUUCAUGUCUGAGCUCUGUUGGUCGUGCCUCCUGAGGACCUCUUUCCUCUACUGUAUGCUGAUGACACACCCAUCCGAUGGGAGCUGGAGCCUUGUCUGGUCCUUUCCUCUAUGACCCCACGUGUACAGUUGGAAAUCCUUCCUAAUCAUGCCUUGAUUCCCCCUUUUCGACUACACUCAAAGAUGUUUGAGCUGUUUUAUUUGCAAAAUGGAUGGACAGUUUGUUUAUAUAAAACAAUCCCAGCUUCCUUGUGCUCUAUCUGGUGUGUUUGUAUGGCUCUUCAGUGACUUUAAAGUGGAGCAUUGACCUUGGCCUCUUUGAUUCUCCAUGGUGGAAUAGAGAAGACCUCUUGAGGAUGCUUAAUGUUGCUGAGAUCUUAAGAAGGCUUGCAGACUUCCUCUUCCUCCCUCCUUCUCCCACCUCCUCCUUCCCUAAGCAGCCUCUGCAUUGUAUAAAUUCCUUUAUAUAAAUUCCUCUGUAAAUGUUGUC
rnacentral:lncRNA from 1 species